rnacentral:rRNA from 1 species
AACGAACGCUGGCGGCAUGCCUAACACAUGCAAGUCGAACGAGACCUUCGGGUCUAGUGGCGCACGGGUGCGUAACGCGUGGGAACCUGCCCUUAGGUUCGGAAUAACUCCCCGAAAGGGGUGCUAAUACCGGAUAAUGUCUUCGGACCAAAGAUUUAUCGCCUUUGGAUGGGCCCGCGUUGGAUUAGCUAGUUGGUAGGGUAAAAGCCUACCAAGGCGACGAUCCAUAGCUGGUCUGAGAGGAUGAUCAGCCACACUGGGACUGAGACACGGCCCAGACUCCUACGGGAAGCAGCAGUGGGGAAUAUUGGACAAUGGGCGAAGGCCUGAUCCAGCAAUGCCGCGUGAGUGAUGAAGGCCUUAGGGUUGUAAAGCUCUUUUACCCGGGAUGAUAAUGACAGUACCGGGAGAAUAAGCACCGGCUAACUCCGUG